rnacentral:rRNA from 1 species
UCGCUACUACCGAUUGAAUGGCUUAGUGAGCUCUCUGGACUGUUGCUCGUUGUUGGAAACUUCGACUUGCACACGGGAAGGAGAUCAAACUUGAUCAUUUAGAGGAAGUAA